AUUGUACUCCCUCCGUCCGGAAAUACUUGUCAUUGGAAUAGAUGUAUCUAGAUGUAUUUUGGGUGUAAGUAUAUCCAUUUUCAUCCAUUUUGAUGACAUGUAAUUCCGGACGGAGGGAGUAAUAU
rfam:Triticum aestivum genome assembly, contig: Triticum_aestivum_CS42_TGACv1_scaffold_020320_1AS